rnacentral:rRNA from 1 species
AAUUAGCGGAUGACUUGUGGCUGGGGGUGAAAGGCCAAUCAAACCGGGAGAUAGCUGGUUCUCCCCGAAAGCUAUUUAGGUAGCGCCUCGUGAAUUCAUCUCCGGGGGUAGAGCACUGUUUCGGCAAGGGGGUCAUCCCGACUUACCAACCCGAUGCAAACUGCGAAUACCGGAGAAUGUUAUCACGGGAGACACACGGCGGGUGCUAACGUCCGUCGUGAAGAGGGAAACAACCCAGACCGCCAGCUAAGGUCCCAAAGUCAUGGUUAAGUGGGAAACGAUGUGGGAAGGCCCAGACAGCCAGGAUGUUGGCUUAGAAGCAGCCAUCAUUUAAAGAAAGCGUAAUAGCUCACUGGUCGAGUCGGCCUGCGCGGAAGAUGUAACGGGGCUAAACCAUGCACCGAAGCUGCGGCAGCGACGCUGAUGCGUUGUUGGGUAGGGGAGCGUUCUGUAAGCCUGCGAAGGUGUGCUGUGAGGCAUGCUGGAGGUAUCAGAAGUGCGAAUGCUGACAUAAGUAACGAUAAAGCGGGUGAAAAGCCCGCUCGCCGGAAGACCAAGGGUUCCUGUCCAACGUUAAUCGGGGCAGGGUGAGUCGCCCCCUAAGGCGAGGCCGAAAGGCGUAGUCGAUGGGAAACAGGUUAAUAUUCCUGUACUUGGUGUUACUGCGAAGGGGGGACGGAGAAGGCUAUGUUGGCCGGGCGACGGUUGUCCCGGUUUAAGCGUGUAGGCUGGUUUUCCAGGCAAAUCCGGAAAAUCAAGGCUGAGGCGUGAUGACGAGGCACUACGGUGCUGAAGCAACAAAUGCCCUGCUUCCAGGAAAAGCCUCUAAGCAUCAGGUAACAUCAAAUCGUACCCCAAACCGACACAGGUGGUCAGGUAGAGAAUACCAAGGCGCUUGAGAGAACUCGGGUGAAGGAACUAGGCAAAAUGGUGCCGUAACUUCGGGAGAAGGCACGCUGAUAUGUAGGUGAAGCGACUUGCUCGUGGAGCUGAAAUCAGUCGAAGAUACCAGCUGGCUGCAACUGUUUAUUAAAAACACAGCACUGUGCAAACACGAAAGUGGACGUAUACGGUGUGACGCCUGCCCGGUGCCGGAAGGUUAAUUGAUGGGGUUAGCGCAAGCGAAGCUCUUGAUCGAAGCCCCGGUAAACGGCGGCCGUAACUAUAACGGUCCUAAGGUAGCGAAAUUCCUUGUCGGGUAAGUUCCGACCUGCACGAAUGGCGUAAUGAUGGCCAGGCUGUCUCCACCCGAGACUCAGUGAAAUUGAACUCGCUGUGAAGAUGCAGUGUACCCGCGGCAAGACGGAAAGACCCCGUGAACCUUUACUAUAGCUUGACACUGAACAUUGAGCCUUGAUGUGUAGGAUAGGUGGGAGGCUUUGAAGUGUGGACGCCAGUCUGCAUGGAGCCGACCUUGAAAUACCACCCUUUAAUGUUUGAUGUUCUAACGUUGACCCGUGAUCCGGGUUGCGG